CCUCCGGUGUCCAGCUUUGGGCGGCCCUGCGAACAGAGGAGCUCUCCAGCACUGGCAGUGGGAACUUCUCCGUCUGCAGUCAUUUCAGAGAGAGAUUUGGGUACCAAAAAUGGGAGCUGGAGAAACGCUUUAGCCUUUAUCCUGUGCAGCAGGGCGUCUGAGACGCCAAAACCAGCGCCGGGAGGAGCCGUUGUGUCGGUGCGCCUUACUCGCUCCUGCGGAGGGAGGAAAUGACGUCUCUCCCAAAACGCCUCUUUUGGCUGUGUAGGCUGAUGCUGAGGAAAGCUAAACACUUGCCUACACAGUGACCAGAGCAAGAAACCGAACUCUGCUCUCCCAGGCCUGUGCUCUGAGCCUGAAACGCUGCCGUCUUUACUCAAAGAUAUGUAUCUAGUUUAGAAAGUCUCUGAACAGCAGAUGAGCGGAAACUGGGAGGUUAUGUUAGUGCUUGCCUUGUGCUUACAUUCUUCCACCUACCUACUACUGUCAGUGACAGGAUAUUGGGCUAAACAAACCUUAGGUCUAGCCACAAACAGCUGCUUCUAUGAUCAUGUGUUUUUCUUUAAAUAUGAAGCUGUAUUGCUACACAUUUUGCACUGAGGAAUUAAGUACAUGCUUUGAGUUCCCUGUGAAUCUGUUCAAUGCAUAGAUCACCUUCAUAAUAUUGUGAUGUAGCCCUUAUCAUCUCCAUCUGACUUUAAAAAUUCUCUGCUGUGGAGAGUUCCAAGAGAAACAAAUUCACUUUUUUUUUUUUUUUUUUUUUGCUAACCUGCCUGGCCCACACAUUUCAAACAACUUCACAACUUCACGGUUCAGCUCUUCCAACCUCUUUACAUUUUACAGUCUUUAAACAAAUCCCCUCUGAUCCUUAAAUAGCUUUCAGUGGGCCUGUUUACUACGCAAAACUCUGAACCCAUGCACACGUGAGCUUCUGACACAUAAAGGUGAUACACAAAAACAUGAAAACAAGAACUAUAUAUACACUGUAGAAUUUCACAGCAAAGCUCAGAGUUGAGCGCAACCUGCUACCAGUAGUCAAAUGCAAAUGAGAAAUAGUAUAAAAAUGUGAAAGAACAAAGAAGAUAUUCAAAAUGCUUACAAUUAAGAGAAAGAAAUAUUAUAAACUCAGGGCUUACCAGGUUGGAAAGCUCCUAAAACACAUCUGACAAACCCAAUACAGUCAAAACAUUCCUUUUUGGUGGCAGUGCUGGUGUAAAAAGUUCCCACAGUGCCCUAUCCCAGCCCUGGGUUGUCUCUCCCUCUCACACGAACGUCUGACAGUUGUUUCUGGUGUCAUUUUAUAAGCUGGAUUGAGGAACUGGUCGGGGUUAAAACAACCUCUCUGCUCCCACAUCUUAUUUCUUUAUUUGGAUGACUUCUGUGAUGCUGUUCUGAGCGUGGCCUACGGAACAGCCGUACUGCCCCAGCACAGGAGCAGGAGCAAGGGAAGGGGGCAGCAGGCACCUAACCCAGCAAAGGCACCGGCACGAAUGCUCCCCAAAGCUACCUCCUAAAUAACCAGGAAGAUUUUGCUAUUUUUUACAUUCCAUGCAACCCGUUUGCCUGUUUAGGUGAGUAUUUCUCUGAACUACAGCGGUAGGUCUCUGACAGCUCCGCAGGAAAUCAAUUAGCAGGUGCUUCCCAUUGUAUGACACUAGAUCUAAAGGAGCAGGGAGGAAUGUUCUUUCACUAAGGAAUGAAGUUUCUUUGUUUUUACAAAGUGAAACUGUUUCUUCAUAUUGCAGUUAACUGUGUGACACAACAGUGUCUUUAUACAAACGGCUGUAUAAGGCCAUCCCCAAGACAUCUCAGCAGUUGUUCCAGCAGCCUACAGAUACAUUUUCUACCUUAUCAUUCUUUCCUCCCUGCAACGCUGCAGCAAUCCCAGCCUCUGCUCGAUGUUCAGAGGACACUAAUUUCAGUCUCUCUCUCCCCCCUCUGUCCUGCUACCAGUUUCCAUAAAACCUGAAAAAAUUCUUAUCUUUAAGACCUACACCGCCUCGUGAAACACGGCUGAAAACAGAUGAGAUUCAAAACUUGGAGGGGAGCUGACGCAUGCACAGAAAGACAACACAGUUGUGUCUUACUCCCUUAGGGAACCAGGCCAAUAACAAGCCACACGUUACAGCAGCUAUACAAGGUAUGAGGACACAACAAAUCCUAAGAAAUAAUGAUUCACAGUCAACCAAAUGCACAGGUGUUACUACCUGACACGUUGCAGGAUACAAAAUAGGCUGGUAAGAAGGCUGGUGACGGCAGAUGCAAAAUACCCUGUAUUUAAACAUGACAUAUGGAUUCUGCUUUCUGCCAGGGCUGACACCGGCAUGCUACACUGGGAGUCUGCCUGCAGUAAAGAGCUGACAAAAUGAUGAUCCUUCUGCCCACAUCAAGCUGUUCGCUAGAUAGAAUUUGAAGAUCUCAUACCACAUUUUUAAAGAAAUAAUAAAUAAAUCCAGUGGACCAAUUAGCAUUAAAUUGCUACAUGCAUAAUGUUCUGACAAGUUUUUUGUUGCUGCCUUUGUUCCAAGUCACAAUUUAGCACUUUUGGAAAAGAGAGAAUGGUAUUAAAUAAAAUAAACAGAGACGUUUGUACGUUGGGGAAUAUUUUAGGAAUAUUCCAAUCUCUCUCCUUCACUCCUUCCAUUCCAUGAAGACACACAUCUUAAAUAUGACUGCAAAAAUAGCUAGCAUAGUAAGGCUUUUCUCAGAAAAGGGUCAACGGUACCUACGAAUCAGCCAAGAGCCCAUUACAAAGCAAUGCAGAGACUUCUUUUUUCAUCUCCCAAAGGCCCUUUCGGUGUGAAAAUGACAUGUUCUCUAAUGGUUCUUUACUGCAGAGCAUUGCUCGGCUUCUGGAAAACUAACGCACACUUUCUCUUUGUGCUGCUGGGCUACCAUGUGUCAUUUCUUCCCCCAUGUACUCCUCUCAUUUCCGCAUCUUAAGGCAUAUUAGAGGAAUAAUUAGAUUUAGAGGAUAAUUGCCCAAUGCUUCUGGAUGUGGUAAUCCAGUCCUCAAAGUGAUACUGCUGUGUAUGUACCACACGCUUAUCCUGUGACAAUGAACAAUUUCUAUAGCUAUCUUCAGAGCAUCAGAGAUUUCACCUUAAACCCAGUCGUCCACAGAAAUACAGUGUAUUUUGUUUGGUUUUACUCACCUUAGCACCAGACUAUAGUUCCACUCAGGUAUUAAUGAAAAUAAAUUAUGUUUUUCACAGUCAUUCCUCUAUGGCUACAAAAAACACUAUAAGAGAAUCAUUUGAAAAUUUUUACGA